CGACAAUAUAUGGCGCAAUGACUUAUGGGGCUGGCACAAUUUUUUUUUCCAGGGCUGCUUUGGAAUCCCCAGUCCGGCCCUGUCUGCAGUGAACAUAUACAAAGAUUAAGGAAAGCAGGAUGUGUUACCAGCAUAAGGGUUACAGACCCUGUAAAAUUCUUAGAGCCUAACAAUGUGGAAUAUAAUUUUGUAGUGUUACUGCUUAAAGGGACACUCCAGACAUUAAAGAGCUUUUAUGUAUUUGAAAACUUGUACUCUUAAUUACCUGUGUGUUCUCA